rnacentral:lncRNA from 1 species
CCCCUCUGCAGACUCGGAAGACAUGGCAGCUCAGGAGCCCUGAUGGCCGUUUCCUGGAGCCAAGAGUGUGCAGCCCUUGAAGCCCGCCAUUUCCCAGGGCUCCAGGGUCCCCACCACUCCCUACUGCUUCAUAUCCACCUUGCUUCCCUCUUCUGCCUUGGCCUGGCCCCUGUAGGCAUUGAGUCUGCAGUCCUUGUUUAGGGGCUGAGCAGCAGCAGCAAGUCCCAUCUGCCAAUAAGCAACCUCUGCAGGCCUGACACUGGCUGAGUUGUCCCUUUUAUCUCAAAGGGGCAUCACCCUGCAUUUGAGAACAUCUCAACAGACUCCCCGUCACCAGGAACGUGCCUGCUACUUGACAGAGCCAGGGAGGGAGGAUUGGCUGAUCUGGGGUUUUAUUGGCCCCCAGGAGAUGGAAGGCCCAGGCUCCAGCUGCGGUGGAGGACAAAGGGGACUUGUUUUGGUGACAAUGGUGCCUUUCAGGAGGGAGGAGGUGGCUUUUGUUAAGGGGGAACGAUGAGUUCAAGGGGUUCUGACUUAUUCUGGCAAGUUUCUCCAGCUCUACAAGAACUUCUAGUGCUCUGGGCAGCUGCGAGGGGUCAAGAAACCACAUCCCCAAAUCCAGCGGGAUCUCAGAGAGAAAGGCUGAUGGGAAGCUGCCCAGGGCUGACCUGGCACAUGCUGGGAAAACCCCUCGGUGCCAGGGCAGGAGGCAGAGCGUCUGCAGCUCCUCCCUCCCCAACACAGGGGGUAAGGAAUACAGCAGAACGGGAAUCGGGCGCCUUCAUGCUGCUGUUACCGCCCUUGGUUCAUGGCUUCUUUCACUUGGAAACCCCAGGAGGUUCAUCAUGGUUCAGAAAAGUUUGUCUUCUCUUGGCACACCCAGCUUUGACGGUGCACAUGAAUAGGAUACAGAGGUGCAGGCAGAGGCCAGGCCAGCCCGAGUCAAAGCUUAGGAACAGAGGAUGAAGACUGUUGCAAAGGAGUGGCGGGGAAUGGUGGAGUGGAGGACCCUGGACAGCCAGCUGCCUGGAAAAAUCAUCUCUAUCCCUGGAACACAUGUGGUUCCCAAAAGCCAAUGACAAACAGCAGCACUCGAUGCUGGAAGACAACGGAGGAGCAUCUGUCUAACUCGAGAAUAAAGUAUCCAGCCAAGAGGUCCAGACUGGAAAGUAACACACCAUCCAUCUCAAACAGCCAGAAACCCAGGGAAUACAGACGGCAUUCAUGAGCUCUUCUCAGAAAAUAUCACCCAGGUGACAAAAUCCAGACCAAUGAAAGAGGAAAUCAAAAUAAAGAUAGAGGCAUGGACAAGCUGUGAUCAAAGGUCUAAUGGUAAGCGCUGUAGCCACUUAAAGUUUGAAUAAAUACUAGGCAUUUAUGCACAUUAGGGAGAUGGACCAGAAUGCAAUGCUAUAAACCUAAGCCCUUAGCUUAGCUAACAAAAAUCAGGAGAGGGCAGGCAAUGUGGGUGGCCUAAUUUUCCACACCAGAAAGUCAACCCCAAAUGCAUCUCAAAUGGAAACUAGAGUUUUUUAAAAAUGGCAACUCUAACCUCUUAUUUCCUAAUGUAUUAAACCGAUGGCUAUUUUAAGAAAUAAUAUUUCCUGUGAUAAAGAAAUUUGAAUUUCAAUAAUUCCUCCUGUUUCAAUUUGGUUUCUUUUUCUUCUUUUAAAUUAAUGGAAAUUUAAAUGCCAUGAUUGUAUUUGCAAAAUAUAUAUAGGCCAGGCGCAGUGGCUCAUGCCUGUAAUCUCGGCACUUUGGGAAGCGGAGGUGGGAAGAUUGCUUGAGCCCAGGAAUUCGAGACCAGCCUGGGCAACAAAGUGAGACCCCCAACUCUAUUUUUAAAAACUUAAAAAAUGAAACAAAAAAAAAAUUCCCUCUCCCCAAAGAAAAUAUAUAUAAAAGAGCAGCCUAGAUUCGGUGUGGCUGGCAGCUUCUUCGCAAAGGAAACAAAUGCAUUUGCUCACACUGGAUGAACCUAGACCCUUAUAAUGCUCACGUGAUCUAAACCAUCUGUCCUAGGGGCAGAGGGGAGACAAACUAAGGAGCAACAUUCCCUGGAGGAAGCCGUUCAAAACCUUUCCAUCUGGAAAGAUGAGGACCUUGGGCUGGUCGCUUUGAAAGCCAAUCUGCCUGUACUUCAAAGAGAUACCAUGCUGUGGGAUCUACCAGGUGCUGUGAAGCCAUCAUCCAGAAAUUUCUCUGAAAAAACAUACUUUAUAGCUUUGCUUCAAAAUCUUGUUAUAUUUGAUUUCAGUGUUCAGUGUUUAAAAUGUUAAGUUCAAGCCCUUUCAACAGAAAGCCCUCUGCAUGGAGGCCAGGCUGCCAACACCGCAGGUGGAGAUCGGAUGACAGGGACUGCACACAAAUGGGUCUCCUCACUGGGGAUCCAGGGAGAAGGUGGAGGGACGGACGCUGAUACAAAGACUUAAAGGUAGUUUCUAGAAGAACCACUGACUGAAAUGCAGCAGGGGUUUGAUGGUCAGUGAAUUAAUGCCUUCUAUGCCUGAGCUUCCUCUUUCUGCUGAACUAGGAAAAGUGACAUCAGGCGACCAUCAAACAUGAAGUUUUUGCAAUAAUAGUAUCAGUAACUGUAACAUCAAAAACAAUAGCUACUACUUGCUAAGCUUCUGUUACAUUAUCAGGCACUAAGCUGACUUAUCUAUGUACCUUAUCUCAUUUCUUUUUCUUUUUCUUUUUUGAGGAAGGGUCUUGCUCUGUCACCCAGGCUGCAGUGCAGUAACACCACCUUGGCUCACUGCAACCUCCACCUCCUGGGUUCAAGUGAUCCUCCCACCUUAGCCUCCAGAACAGCUGGGAUUACAGGUGCAUAUCACCACAACUGGCUAAUUUUUAGUUUUUUUGUAGAGAUGAGAUCUUACUCUGUUGCCCAAGCUGAUCUCAAACUCUUGGGCUCAAGCAAUCCUCCUGCCUCAGACUCCCAAAGUGCUGGGAUUGUAGGCAUGAACCACCACACCCAGCCACCUCAUUUCAUUUCAACCUCCUAACACGCCAGUGCAGUAGGUCUCCUCAUCUUACAGGCCUGGAGGACUUAAGUACAAGUUCAAGGUCACAUGGCCAGUAAUGGCAGACCCAGGGUAUGGAGGAAUGACCAUCUGACUCUGUAUUAGUCCGUUUUCACGCUGCUGAUAAAGACGCACCCACGACUGGGAAGAAAAAGAGGUUUACUUGACUUACAGUUCCACAUGGCUGGGGAGGCCUCACAAUCAUGGCAGAAGACAAUGAGGAGCAAGUCACCUCUUACAUGGAUGGCAGUAGGCAAAGAGAGAGAACUUGGGCAGGGAAACUCCCAUUUUAAAAACCAUCAGAUCUCCUGAGACUCAUUCACUAUCACAAGAACAGCACAGAAAAGACUCACCCCAUAAUUCAAUCACCUCCCACCUGGAUCCACCCACCACAUGUGGGAAUUGUGGGAGUUACAAUUCAAGAUGAGAUUUGGGUGGGGACACAGCCAAACCAUAUCAGACUCUAAAGUCCAGACUCUUAACCAUGUGAUCAUGUUUAUUCCCUGCCUGGUACCAACUUGGAAGCAACUGGUCUCCAGAGAGGGAUGAAAGUCAGGGGCACAGUGACUGUCCACUGACUUGCACAAAAUUGAUAAACCUGCCCGUAAGAGGUUUAGACACAAAGCUGCCUUGAGGCCACUAAACAUGUUCAUGUAUGUGUUAAGUUUGAGUGGAUGAAGCAUUAAACUCCUAACUCUACUUACAAAGGAGAAUGAGCUGGGUCUAAGUUCUGGGCCUCACUCAGUUUACCCUGUGUCCCCAGGUGAGUUGCUGAGCUUCAAGCCCUCACCUUUGCUAUGGGAAAAUGUGCCCUGAUUAGCUCACAAAAAAAAGGCUGCUGAGGGGUCAAAACGAAAUUAACAGCUAAGAAUCAGUGUUUUGUGAUUGCUUUAAUAGGGUUCUAGUUUUUACAGAAAAUUUAAAAUUUUGAUGAUGGCAUCUUUUAUUUCUCAGAUGCUACUGAAUCUGCCUAUUAGAAGCUUGGAUGCUUAGACCAUGAAGCCACAGUGGAAACUUUAAGACAGUCCUCAAGAGCUAGCAGCAGUCUUGGGGGUAGAGAUCACUGACAUGCAGGCAGAAAGGCCAGACCUCCCCAACCAACCCCCUGCCCCUGGAACCCCAAUAAUGUCUCUCAUUUGGUUGGCAGUUUUGUAAAACUGGGAGUUGAAUGUCUUGAGUCUGGCAUAUAUUGCUAGUUGUGAUAAUUCCCACUAACUUCUCUUGUACUAUAUGAGGCAUUUUACACAUUCAUAUUAUUAAUCUGCCUGGACCAUGAAGGCUUUUUACCCAGCACUGAAGAGUUAGUUGAUUAAUUUGUUCUUUUUUCUCAUUCAUCCAUGUAUUCAACACAUUUUUUUUUUUUUUUGAAACAGGGUCUCACUCUAUCACCCAAGCUGGAGUGCAGUGGCACGAUCAUGGCUCACUGCAACCUCGACCUCCUGGGUUCAAGAGAUUCUCCGACUUUUUGGUUAGCUGGGACUACAGGUGUACACCAUCAUGCUCAGCUAAUUUUUGUAUGUUUUGUAGAGAUGGGGUCUUGCCAUGUUGCCCAGGCUGGUCUCGAACUGCUGGGCUCAAGCGAUCCUCCUGCCUCGGCCUCCAAAAGUACUGGGAUUAUAGGCAUAAACCACCACACAUGGCAACAAAUAUUUUUUAUUGAAUAUACGUGUCCCCCAUAAGCAGGUGUGACUGCUAGGUGCUAGGGAUGGAGUGAUGAACAAGACAGACUUACGGAAUCUACAAUCUGGCAACAUCUCUUAUGUAAUCCAUAACAGAUUACCAGAGUAAUGAGCGCCAAAAACCCAAACUUAGGGCUUGCCAGUCCACGUCCAUAAUAAAGUGGCUUGUGCCCUAACUUUAGGGUCAACUCAAGUGAUCCUCCUACCUCGGCAUCCCAAAGUACUGGGAUUACAGGCGUGAACCACCAUGCCUGUCCUAACUCUGCAUAUUUUAAAAAUCGCAUUCCCGACCGGCUGGGCAUGGUGGCUCACACCUGUAAUCCCAACACUUUGGCAGGCCGAAGUCACUUGAGGUCAGGAGUUCGAGACCAGCCUGGUCAACAUGGUGAAACCCCAUCUCUACUAAAAAUACAAAAAUUAGCCGGGUGUGGUGGUGGACACCUGUAAUCCCAGUUACUCAGGAGGCUGAGGCAGGAGAAUCGCUUGAACCCGGGAGGCAGAAGUUGUAGUGAGUCAAGACUGCACCACUAUACUUCAGCCUGGGUGACAGAGUGAGACUCUGUCAAAAACAAAACAAAACAAAACAAAACAAAACAAAACAAAACAAAAACUCAUUCCCCUACAUCAAUUUUGAUAGAACUAAGGCUAGGAAAAUUUGAAUUAUACAUGUGUUUUAAAUACCUGAGCAAUAUCUUUAGUUUUCUGACACCUUCUUACUGCCAUGAAUUUUAAUUCAAAGCUAAGUGUAUUUAUAAAGUACCCUGGAGUUCAGCCUCUAAAGUGCAUCACUGGAGAAAAACCAAAACAAUCUUUGUCUAGGGAAGAGAGUGAUAGAAGACAAAAUGAACUCAGGAAGUAGAUGGGCCUGGGAGACUGCCCAAUGCUUUCCUGGUUUGUGGGCCCCUGGCCAAACCCCUCAGCAUCACCCUGGCUGAGCAAUCCAUAAGGAGAUUGGAUAGGGAUAGCAGGAUAAAGACCAAAUAUCAAGGAAUGCCACUGGCUGACUAGAAAAUUUCAGGAAUUCCUGAAAGAUAGAGGGGAGAGAUCACAUCCAUAAAGAACUAAAGGAAAAGGAAACUGCAGAUUAAAACAUACAUGGUGGGUUGGGCACAGUGGCUCAUACCUGUAAUCCCAGCACUUUGCCAGGCCGAGGUGGGUGGAUCACCUGAGGCCAGCAGUUCAAGACCAGCCCGGCCAACAUGGUGAAACCCCAUCUCUACUAAAAAUACAAAAAUUAGCCGGGCGUGGUGGCACACGCCUGUAGUCCCAGCUACUUGGGAGGCCGAGACAGAAGAAUUGCUUGAACCUGGGAGGUGGAGGUUGCAGGGAGCCAAGAUCGUACCAGUGCACUCCAGCCUGGGGGAAAGAGUGUCCUGUCUCAAAAAAAAAAAAAAAUAAUAAAAACACAGACAUGGUAUAUUAGUCUGUUCUCACCCUGCUAUGAAGAAAUACCUGAGACCAGGUAAUUUAUAAAGAAAAGAGGUUUAGUUGACUCAAAGUUCUCCACAGCUGGGGAGGCUGCAGACAACUUCCAAUCAUGGCAGAAAGCACCUCUUCACAGGGUGGCAGGAGAGAGAAAUUAGUAAAGGGGGAAGCAUGCUGGGCACAGUGGCUCAUGCCUAUAAUCCCAGCACUUUGGGAGGCUGAGGUGGGUGGAUCGUUUGAGGUCAGGAGUUCGAGACUAGCACGGCCAACAUGGUGAAACCCCAUCUCUACUAAAAAUACAAAAAAUUAGCCAGGCGUGGUGGUGGAUGCCUAUAAUCCCAGCUACUCAGGAGGCUGAGGCAGGAGAAUUGCUUGAACCCAGGAGGUGCGCUGCUGCAUACCAACCUGGGUGACAGAGUGAGACCCUGUCUCAAGAAAAAAAAAAAAAAACAACCUCCGGAGAACAGAGCAGAAACAAUGAAAGAGAAUGAUAAUAACAGUAGUAAUAAUAAAUGAAAAAUUUCCAGUGCUAAAGAAAGACACAAGCGUGCAGAUGCCCCUGGCUUCAGCCUACGGGUGAGCCUCUCUGCUGCCCCUUACUUAAUAUAGCCGGGGACAGGCUGCAGCCCUAAAAGCGGCCCCCCACUCUAGCCUCAGGGCUCCCUGUCACACAUCUUGAUGCUGAACUCACCUACACAUGCACAUGCACACACUGCUCCUUCUAUGGAAGUUUUUACGGCCCUGAAAUUUUUGCUGAAAAGGCCCACUUAGUGUUUUCAAUGGGACAAAGAUUUUGAGACAGAUAUAUUCAUAUGGAUGAAAGGUACACUCUCUCAAAAAACAUUUUGACUCUAUAUGCAAAGAAUGACAGAUAUUUGAAAUAUAUAAGGCAAAAACAAAUGCAGGGGAAAACUGACAAGUUCACAGAUAUCAACCAGAUCAAAGAGACAAAAAGUAAGUCAAGCCCUACAGCGGUGGUUUGCUAAUGAGUAUGAGAGUUUCCAGGGAAGCUUAUUAAAAAUGCAGGCUCUGAGCACUCCAUGCCUCCUCCAAAUCCAGUUCUAUACCUAUGGGUGUGGUGUGAGAAUUCACAGCUUUAAUAAGCAGCCCAGGUGAUGCUAAUAUAGGUAGUCUGAGACCACACUUUAAGAAUCACCCAGUUAAGUAUUACAACUAAUCGUGUGUGAUUUAACAGAUAUAUUGAGAACUUUGUACCAAAAAGAGAAUGAUUAUUCUUUUGAAAUAUCAUAGAACAUUCAUAAAAAUCAUCUGGUAGGCCACAAACAAAAAACCUCAGUAACUUUCAAAACCCAGAAAUUAAACCAUCUUUAAUUUUAGGCCAUUUUAAAUCAUAAUGUGGCCAAAUUAGAAACUAAUACAAAACGAUAGCAAAAAUACAAAACUAGAUAAACAAAAAACUGUUUACUUAGAACGUUUGGGAAAACUCUCCUACAUAAAGAAGAGAGGCUGGGCAUGGUGGCUCAUGCCUGUAAUUACAGCACUUUGGGAGGGCGAGGUGGGAGGACUGCUCAAGGCCAGGAGUUCAAGACCAGUCUGGGCAACAUAGCAAGUCCCUGUCUCUAAGAAAAAAUUAAAAGAUUAGCCAGGCAUGGUGGCGCAUGCCUGUAGUCCCAGCGGCUUGCGAGGUUGAGGCAGGAGCAUCACUUGACCCCAGAAGAUUGAGGCUGCAGUGACCCAUGAUCAUGCUCUGCAUUCCAGUCUGGGUGACAGAACAGGACCCUGUCUUAAAUGAAAAAAUAAACAUAUAGGAGGGGAAAAAAAAAACACCCUAAACUAAUAAGCCAAUUAGAAAUAAAUGGCCAGGUACAGUGGCUCACGCCUGUAAUCCCAACACUUUAGGAGGCCAAGGCAGGCGGAUCACCUGAGGUCAGGAAUUCGAGAGCAGCCUGGCCAACAUGGUGAAUCUCUGUCUCUACAAAAAAUACAAAAAAAAAAAAAAAUUAGCCGGGUGUGGUGACACAUGCCUGUAGUCCCAGCUACUUGGCGGGGUGAGACAGGCGAAUCACUUGAGCCUGGGAGACGGAGGUUGCAGUGAGCCGAGCAAGACUCUGUUGCACUGCACUCCAGCCUGGGCGACAGAGCAAUACUCUGUCUCAAAAUAAAUAAAUAAAUAAAUAAACAAAUAAAUAAAUAAAUAAAUGACAAUGAAAGUAUUACAUAGUACUAUAUGGUAAAAUUUGCAGAGUAAAUACAAAGCAAUAUUCAGAGGAAAAUGUAUAGCCUAAUUGAUAUAUUAGAAAAUAGUAUGAAAAUUAAAUGGGCCAGGUGUGGUGGGUCACACCUGUAAUCCUAGCACUUUGGGAGGCCAAGCGGGAGGAUUACUUGAACCUAGGAGUUUGAGACCAGCCUGGGCAACAUGGUGAGACAUCUUCUCUACCUAAAAAAAAAAAAAAAAAAAAAAAAGAAGAAGAAAAGAAAAAGAAAAAAUAAAUUAAACAUUUAACUUAAGUCAGGUUACAGUGGUGGAGGUCAGGGAGAACCAAUGUGAUACCAAAAAGUUUAAGAGAGGAAUUAAGAUGAAAGCAGAAAUAAGCUGAAAAAAAAAUAAAUAAAUGAGUAAAUGAAUGAAUGGAUGACUAAAUAAAUAACGUAUACUUGCUCAAUAAAAGUAAAAGCUGGAGAUGGUUUGGCUGGGUAGAUAUAGACAGCUUUUCAUAUUAUACUCAACUUACUUCUAAACUGUUUGAAUCUUUUUAAAUGAGAAGGCACCCAUGUAUUAGGUGUUAGAUAAAAUGAUACAAAAUAAUGUAAAAAUUGUUUCACAUCAUACCUAAGAAAUUCUAGGUCGGCUAUAAAUGCAAGAUAUUAAAGUUAUUCUAAUAUUGAUUCAGAAGUUAAUCUUUAUUUUCAUUAAGAUUGAAAAAUAUGCUUUAUUAAGUUCAAUUCAUCUGGCACCUUCAUUUGUAGAAACACCCUACUGAGGGAUGGGAUCACUACAUCUCUUACUUCUGGACCUGUAAUUCAUGGGCAUUUAGUGCUUGUUCAGCAUCAUUUCACAUCAUUCAUGCUCAUCACCAAAUUAUUCCUGCUCAGCUUGCCCUGUGCUGUCUGACCCACCUGCCCAGGGCCCUUUCUAAUGCCACAAGCCAGCCGUCUUUUGGUCUGAGCUGUCCAGUUGGUCAUCCCUGGGGGCCUUUGAUGUUUCUGGGUAACAGACGGGCUAGGUCAAGAGCCACUGUCAAGGAGAAAGAGCUCUUCCUCCUGUCUCAUCAGGAACUGACAAAGCUUUCAUUAUCUAAACCAGAAGUUGCAAGUUGGUAGUCUAAAGGCCACAUCUGGCCAGCAGGUAUAUUUUGUUUGGUCCACAGGAAAUUGUGAAUUAGGCUGGGCAUGGUGGCUCAUGCCUGUAAUCCCAAUGCUUUGGGAGGCCUACGCAGGCGGACUGCUUGAGCUCAGGAGUUCAAGACCAGCCAGGGCAACACAGUGAAACCCCA